rnacentral:rRNA from 1 species
GGUUGGCUAAUACCGCGUACGCCUUCCGAGUCUUCGGGCUUGGAAGGAAAGCCGCACUGUGAGUGCGGCGCUCUUUGAUGGAGCUCAUGUCCUAUCAGCUUGUUGGUAGGGUAACGGCCUACCAAGGCUUUGACGGGUAGCUGGUCUGAGAGGACGAUCACGCCACACUGGCACUGCGACACGGGCCAGACUCCUACGGGAGGCAGCAGUAAGGAAUAUUGCGCAAGUGGGACGAAAGCCUGACGCAGCGACGCCGCGUGGGGGAUGAAGGUCUUCGGAUUGUAAACCCCUUUCGGGAGGGAAGAUGGAGCGAGCAAUCGUUCGGACGGUACCUCCAGAAGCAGCCACGGCCAACUUCGUG